UCAAAUCCUAACGAGAGAACCUCAGCGUCGCGUCUGAUAAAUAGUUUAGGUCCGUCCAUCUUCAAGUCAAGAUUUACAUAAUGAAGUUCAUCACUAUAUUUUUCAUCGUAUUCAUUGCAAUUGCUUGCCUACAACAGACUGUGAUGGCUUGUUAUGGUACUGGCACGCCCUGUCAACCCGAUGGCAGUACCAACUGCUGUUCAGGAUUCUGCUACAAACAAGUAGGAUGGGCACAGGGAUACUGUAAACCCCGGUAAACUAUUGCAGAUAUUUUUAUAUCUGGUACCACAGAAAAUAAAAAAAAUAAUUAAAAA